UACGUAGGUGGCAAGCGUUGUCCGGAAUUAUUGGGCAUAAAGCGCGCGCAGGCGGUCCUUUAAGUCUGAUGUGAAAGCCCACGGCUCAACCGUGGAGGGUCAUUGGAAACUGGGGGACUUGAGUGCAGGAGAGAAGAGUGGAAUUCCACGUGUAGCGGUGAAAUGCGUAGAGAUGUGGAGGAACACCAGUGGCGAAGGCGACUCUUUGGCCUGUAAUCUGACGCUGAGGCGCGAAAGCGUGGGGAGCAAACAGG
rnacentral:rRNA from 1 species